GUGAAAGUAAACAACCAUAUUGAGUUGUAUUGGUGUGGUUACAUUGCUUCCCCCUUGCUUCGUUCGAAUUCGUCUGUUUCUAUCGAACAAAAUUGUUUGUUUCUAUUCGUACAAUCAAAUUUUCGUGCGUACUCCUAUCCAAAGUAACCUUAGCCUUAAUUUUAGAUGAAAAUCUGAUACCGUAAAGAAUUCUGUACUUUUUGUAUACAGUGCGUUUUCAAACACAUUAGAGCAUGACACAUGUCCGACGAGUUCGUAUGUUAUAUAAAACGAUUUUAAGAUUGCACAAAGGGCUUAGGCAGUCAAUAUGUAAAAGAUGAGUUCCGAAGGCACAAAGUGUGUACACAGCAUGAAGCAGCGCUUUUUAUGGAUGCAUGGACGGAUUACGCCAUUCAAAUGGCGAAUCAACUUAGUGUUAAAGGUAAACCGC